AAUAUAACUGAAAUCUUUGCUUCAGGCACAUUCAUUUUCUGCAGAUAAAUGAGAUAUAAAAGACAGAUCGGCAUGACUGGGUUCUGGUUUUCUUUUUUCAUGUUUAUCACCAUGUAUACAGUCCAGUCUGGUAGAUACUGCAUUUCUGCACAAUCCCUCAAAGAGAUCGAUGUUUAUCACCCUGAAACAAAGCUCAGUGUGGAUAUCGGACACUCGGCUCAUCUACAAUGUUGUGUUAUAGGAAAAGAUGAUGGUGAAAUAAUCUGGUUUAGGCAACAAAAUGGAAAUCAGCCCCGGGUUAUAGUCAGGGUUCCUAAAACUGCUACUGCAACAUUUUACCAUGAAUUCCAAAAUUCACAUUUUCAGAUUAAAAAACUGGGAAACUGCUUUAAUCUGACCAUUUCACACUCCACAGUGUCUGACGAAGCCACGUACUACUGUGCAUUCAUGUUUGCAGCUGGAACUCGGCUACAAAUUAAAGGUGAUCGCAUUACUACUACAUCAGUAACACCUACAGCAACACUGCAUGAAGUCAACAUGAACACACAACAGAAAACAGUGACGUGA